AUUGAACGCUGGCGGCACGCCUAACACAUGCAAGUCGAGCGGUAGCAUGAUUAGUAGCAAUACUAAUUGAUGACGAGCGGCGGACGGGUGAGUAACACGUAGGAACCUGCCCUCAAGCGGGGGAUAACUAAGGGAAACUUUAGCUAAUACCGCAUAAUCUCGAGAGAGUAAAGCUGCAGCAAUGUGGCACUUGAGGAGGGGCCUGCGUCAGAUUAGCUAGUUGGUGAGGUAAUAGCCCACCAAGGCGAUGAUCUGUAACUGGUCUGAGAGGACGACCAGUCACACUGGGACUGAGACACGGCCCAGACUCCUACGGGAGGCAGCAGUGGGGAAUAUUGGACAAUGGGGGCAACCCUGAUCCAGCGAUGCCGCGUGGGUGAAGAAGGCCUUCGGGUUGUAAAGCCCUUUAGGUUGGGAAGAAGGUUAGUGGAGGAAAUGCCAUUAAUUUGACGGUACCAACAGAAUAAGCACCGGCAAACUCUGUGCCAGCCGCCGCCGUAA
rnacentral:rRNA from 1 species